GAUGAACGCUGGCGGCGUGCCUAAUACAUGCAAGUCGAGCGAACGGACGAGAAGCUUGCUUCUCUGAUGUUAGCGGCGGACGGGUGAGUAACACGUGGAUAACCUACCUAUAAGACUGGGAUAACUUCGGGAAACCGGAGCUAAUACCGGAUGAUAUUUUGAACCGCAUGGUUCAAAAGUGAAAGACGUUUUUGCUUUCACUUAUAGAUGGAUCCGCGCUGCAUUAGCUAGUUGGUAAGGUAACGGCUUACCAAGGCAACGAUGCAUAGCCGACCUGAGAGGGUGAUCGGCCACACUGGAACUGAGACACGGUCCAGACUCCUACGGGAGGCAGCAGUAGGGAAUCUUCCGCAAUGGGCGAAAGCCUGACGGAGCAACGCCGCGUGAGUGAUGAAGGUCUUCGGAUCGUAAAACUCUGUUAUUAGGGAAGAACAUAUGUGUAAGUAACUGUGCACAUCUUGACGGUACCUAAUCAGAAAGCCACGGCUAACUACGUG
rnacentral:rRNA from 1 species